rnacentral:rRNA from 1 species
GUUUUAUCAGGCAUGAAGGUGGCGUGGGCCAGCAAGGAGUCUGGGGGUUCAGCAGGACAUCCUUGCAGGAGUAGUCGAGCAGAGGCUGACACUGGCCAAUAUGACCAGCAUUGCCACAGAUCGCCUCCAUGUGGGCUGCUGUUGCAAAGUCACGGUGCUGCACCUCAGCGAAUUCAGCAGGAGCAAUUCAUUCCCCACCCAAGUGUUUAUUAUUGAUCAUUGCUGCUUCAUCUGUUUAUUCUCAUCUAACUAAUAUAUUUACGGACUUUUUGUAUGUUUGGCUAAUUCUUCUUUAUCUUAUGGGGCUUUGCUGUGAAAGAAAGAUAAAGUUCAAAGAGUUCAAUUUAGAGUUAGUGUAGUUUCCCCGGAAGAAAAAAGAGAGAAUUGGUGCAGUGUCUCAUGCCUAUUGGACUCAGUCUAUUACGCUCACUAAGUAUAUACAUGUAUGCUGCAGAGACGUGGUCACAUGGCUGAUUAACAUCUUUUGGCAACAUCAUGUUAAUUCAAUGAAAAAAUUCUACUACACCUAUGACUAUGAACGUAGAUGUGCACUCUUGAUUUUUGAGGACUACUUUAGGAUGUGAUCAUUGGUGUUGCUUCACACUUUCUAGACAACAUAACAUUUUAUUGUUACUAAUGUGAAAAUCCAACUUACUAUUUUUCUAUUACAGUGUGUUCAGCCACUAUCAGACUUUGGUGGCAUGCUCCAGCUGCCAAACUAUGCUCUGCCAACCUACCGAUGGAAAGGCGAGGCUCACCAAGGGAUGCCUUAUUAUGGCAAAAAAUGAAGCCCUUCUUGAGAUUGUUUACUACUACGUAUCCUCGAUGUGGGGAGACCGACCACAAGAGGAGUCAGGAGCAAGCAAAUUACUUUGACAUUUAGCAUAUAUUUACUAGAGUUUCAGAAGGUCAAUAAUACCCAAUGCAUUGCCUUCCAUGACCUACCUUGGUCUAUUCUCAUGGGUGAUCUGCUAACUCAUUUUAAUUCGGUGCCUAGGUACUAUUUCCUUCGGCAUUCUGUUUUAUAAUAUUUAGUACCAUUGGUGCAACUUAAUAUGCAAAGCCUGAGCUUUGUUCAAGUUGCCAAGCAAAUACCUGUGCUAAUUCUCACAAGAAACUUAUGUUUCCCCUGUUUUCAAAUACAUGUACACAAUAAAGUUUUCACUUCGGAAG